CCUAAUAUUUUCUUCUAUUUCAUCCAUGACCAUCUGAUAUUGAGAUUCAAUUUCCAUUUCUCUAAAUGAGGUCAUCGUUUUCUGAUAUGUAAAUCCACGGGCUUGCCCACUCUUUGUAGACAGUCCUGAUUGUUCAGCAGCACCUGAAACUUCCUCCACUUGCGCCCAUGUUAGUCCAUCUGCCUCCGUAUAGAAAACUCUUCUGCUGCCCCUUCUAUGUUUGUCAUCCACUCGCUAUUGAAGUUCAUUGAAUCUACUCUUAUUGGAUCAUACUCCUGAGAUGCUUCCAAUUCUAAGAGUUUG
rnacentral:lncRNA from 1 species